AAAAUGCAAUCACGAAUGACCUCAUAAGACACAGGAAGAUUUCACGCCACACCCACACACGCACACACGUGUGCACACACACACACGAAAAGGCAAGGUGAAAAUAGCAAAGAUAGAGAAGACAGACAUUUGAAACAUGCUUGCCUUGAAGAUUCUAGGGACAAAGGCACAAGCCAAGAAAUGCCAGCAGCUACCAAAAGCUGGAAAAGGCAAUGAGCAGCUUCUCUCCCAGAGCCUCUGGAGGAAGCCCAUCCUUGCCAACACCUGGAUUUCAGCCCAGUGAUUUAGACUUCUGGCCUCUAGGACUAGGCAAGAAUACAUUUAGAUUGCUUUACAUUACCAAGUUUGUGGUGAUUUGUUACAGUAGCCACAGGAAACUAAUCCAGGUAUGAACUGGCUUUUCAACCUAGCAAGACUCAUCAGUAAAUGUCUGACCAGCAAGAGUGAGAUAUGCUGUUCUAACUAAUAGGUAUUAAUUGAAUGAUGCAGUUUCAAAGAUAUAGACAAUGGUGCUGAUAAACCAGUUUGUUGGAGGGAAGGAGGCUUUAUUUUUAGCAGACACCAAUUUCUGUGAUGCAAAUACUCCCUCCAUGGCCCAUUUCAAAGGUUUAACAUCUGGCUUGCAAAAUUCCUUACCAUUUAACAAUCAGCUUGCACAAGCCAGCAGCAGCCAUCUCCAGCCCCUCCUUGUAGAGGUGCUUUAAAUCACGAGAGAAAUUGCUCUAAGACUGUAUUGAGCAUAAUUUAAUUUCUCCUUGAUAAUUCUGAAGGGCACUUCAUGGUAUUGUAGUUCCUGAGCGUCAACAUGGGGAACAUUAAUUACUGUUGCACUGCACACAUGCGGAGUUGCUAAUCAAUGGCAUGGGGGCAGAUAGUUUCUAAGGCUGAUGGGAUGAGAAGAACCAGGCAGAACCAGAAUGUCCUAUAGAUUGUCAGUUGCAUGCUUUUAUUCCUUGCAGAACUCUGGAAGGAAUCCAGUAGAGGCCAUCACGCCCUUAGGUAAAUUUAUUAUGGUAUAAAUUGUAAUCGCAGUGACAGAAAUCUUAAUCAUUUUUUUCCAAUGGCAUAAGGCUUUACAACUUUUUUUAAAAUAUUUUUUUAUUAUACUUUAAGUUUUAGGGUACAUGUGCACAACGUGCAGGUUUGUUACAUAUGCAUACAUGUGCCAUGUUGGUGUGCUGCCCCCAUUAACUCGUCAUUUACAUUAGGUAUAUCUCCUAAUGCUAUCCCUCCCCCCUCCCCCCACCCCACAACAGGCCCCGGUGUGUGAUGUUUCCCUUCCUGUGCCCAAGUGUUCUCAUUGUUCAAUUCCCACCUAUGAGUGAGAACACACGGUGUUUGGUUGUUUGUCCUUGCGAUAGUUUGCUGAGAAUGAUGGUUUCCAACUUCAUCCGUGUCCCUAUAAACGACAUUAACUCAUCCUUUUUUAUGGCUGCAUAGUAUUCCAUGGUGUAUAUGUGCCACAUUUUCUUAAUCCAGUCUAUCAUUGAUGGACAUUUGGGUUGGUUCCAAGUCUUUGCUAUUGUGAGUAGUGCUGCAAUAAACAUGAGUGUGCAUGUGUCUUUAUAGCAGCAUGAUUUAUAGUCAUUUGGGUAUAUACCCAGUAAUGGGAUGGCUGGGUCAAAUGGAAUUUCUAGUUCUAGAUCCCUGAGGAAUCGCCACACUGUCUUCCACAAUGGUCGAACUAGUUUACAGUCCCACCAACAGUGUAAAAGUGUUCCUAUUUCUCCACAUCCUCUCCAGCACCUAUUGUUUCCUGACUUAUUAAUGAUCGCCAUUCUAACUGGUGUGAGAUGGUAUCUCAUUGUGGUUUUGAUUUGCAUUUCUCUGAUGGCCAGUGAUGAUGAGCAUUUUUUCAUGUGUCUGUUGGCUCCAUAAAUGCCUUCUUCUGAGACGUGUCUGUUCAUAUCCUUCGGCCACUUGUUGAUGGGGUUGUUUGUUUCUUGUAAAUUUGUUUGAGUUCUUUGGGCUUUACAACUUUCAAAGUGAAUUGGAUUUUUACCGUAAGCAAAAUAGAACAGAGGGUUUAUCUCAACCAGAAACAAAUGGAGUGUGUAAAAUUCAGUCUCUCUCUUCAGCCCCAUGCUACUGACUUCUGAAUAGCAUUCCAGCUGUAUUUAUCUGGGGCUUGGGAAAUUUUCUUGGUUCCUGGGAAGAAAGUUAACUAAAACAUAUGACAUCUCUGGCAGCAGUCACAAUUUCACACAAAAAGUUUCUUGCAAUAACUUCACAUAUUGCUUCCCCUGGUGGAAUCACUAUCUCUAGGGAAAGCUUGGGUCUAAAAUGACAACUAUAUUGAAUGAAAGUGAGAGCUGAAUGCUAGAUCCACCAGCUUGUAUCUCUCUAGGAGAAAUCUUCAUCUUAAAAUCACUUUUUAUGGAUGAUGUUAUGACAGAGACAAGUCCUAGAUUUUUUUCUUUUCCUGCUUUUAAAACAUAAAAAUUGUAAAACUUCUCAAGUAGCCAGACGUGGUGACGCAUCUGUAGUCCCAGUUACUCAAGAGGCUGAGGCAGGAGGUUUGAGCUCAGAGGUUCAAAUCCAGCUUGGGCAACAUAGUGAGACCCCCCCAACACACACCAAUCUCAAAACAAACAAAAAGCCUUCUCAAGUAAAAAAAUAAGCAAAUACUGUUACUACUCCAGCUACUCAACAGUGCUCCCUGUAGAUGAAAUACUACAGAGUGUUUGCUAUUUACAGGAAAUUGGAGGUGGGGUGGUUACUGGAAAGUGGGUUGGCAGAGAUUGGUGGUUAUGUGAUUUAAUCCUGAAAUAGACUGGUUAUGAGAAUCAAUGUCUUCAAAUUUCAAAUACUGUCUUGCUUUUGCUUUUGUAUAUAUAUACACACAUAUAUACAUAUAAAUAUAUAUACACACACACACACAAAAGCAAAAGCAAAACAGUUAUUAGCUAUCCUUCCUAGAGAUAGCUAGCAAGGACAGCUAAUCAACUCUUUCAACAUUUCAAGAUUAAAGGAUGAGGAUACCACCUGGGUUUUAAUACGGAGAUGGCUCAAGCCCUUUCCACUGCCAUGUAAAAGAUUUUUAGAUCACAUGUGUUGAUCAUUACAGUGAUGAGAUGGUAUUAAAAUGCUUGACAAAUUGGUCUCCAUGGCAGUGCUUGUAGUCCCAGCUACUCAGAGAGGCUGAGGCAGGAGGAUAAAGUGAGCCCAGGAGUUCGAGUCCAGCCUGGGCAGCAAAGCGAGCUCCUGUCUCUAAAACAAAAUACAGACUUGACAAACACCUACUGAAGGCAAUAUGAUCAUUACUUACAGAAAGGACAGGAUCAGAGCUAGGAGAGUGAAGGACUAGAUUUAUGAAGCUUCAGUCCCUUCUUUACGGGCACUGAAGAGAAACAGUUCAAGUCCUCCAGUUGUCCCAUAGGCUUUGUCAUAUAAGAAUGGAUAAUUUGCUACAAGCUCGAAAUGGCAAAACCAAUUACCUAAUGUUGCUACUGUACUGACUAAUCAUCUUACUCAUGAAACUAUCUACACCUUGCAGAGAACUUUAAGAAAACCACUGGGCAUGGUGGGUCGUGCCUAUAAUCUCAGAAUUUUGGAAGACCAAGGUGGGGGCAUCCCUUGAAGCCAGGAGUUUGAGACCAGCCUAGGCAACACAGCAAGAUACUGUCUCUACAUAAAACAAAAAAUAAGAAAAGUUAGCCAGGCAUGGUGGCUAUGCCUGUAGUCCUAGCUACUUGGGAGGCUGAGGCAGGAGGAUCCUUGCAGUGAGCACUCCAGCCUGGGUGAUGGAGCGAGACCCUGUCUCAAGAAAGAAAGAAAGAAGGGAAGAAAGGAAGAAAGGAAGGAAGGAAGGAAGAAAGGAAGAAAGGAAGGAAGGAAGAAGGAAGGAAGGAAGAAAAAGAAAGAAAGAAAGAAAGAAAGAAAGAAAGAAAGAAAGAAAGAAAGAAAGAAAGAAAAACCUUGCAGUAUACAUUUUCAUAAGCCCAAAAGUUACUUCCUUCCAUUUAUUGCAAGGCUAUAAGAACCCAAAUGUCUGCCUGUUAUGAUUUUAACCAGCACUUUUCUACAAGUGAGUAUGUUCAAGAACCCCUAAAAAGACUGUAAUAAUCAGAUAUCAAGCACCUAUAUGAGGUAGCAGGAGGAAGAAAGAGGCAGUACAAACAACAAUCCACACAUAAUCCAGUAAUGCAAGCUCUGAAAUUCCAACACUUCAUUUCAACUGCUUCCCCCAAAAUUCCAUACCAUGUUCUUGCUUUUGGAUAAAGUCAGUGACAAGAAACGAGAUGGUCAUACAGCAGCAGCAAAAAUAUAAUCAGGAAAUAUAAUGACUUUGUAAUAUCCCUGUGCGAAAGAAAUAAACCUGAGUAGUGAGAGGAACAUGGGUCUUGGAUUAGGAUAUAGAACAAUGUUUAAACCCUGGUUGGCCAGGUAUAAGCUAUGUAAUAACCUUGGGCAAUUCACCUAAUUCCUCUGAGUCUUAAUUUCCUCAUUUCUUAUAUGUGGUAAUUGUGCCUAAUUGAGAAGAUGCACAAUAGAAAUUCAAUAGUAGCUCUAAUUACCAUGCAACAACCUUCCUGGUCCACUGUGUGGGUUUCUUUCAGGCUGUGAGUAAGUGGACAUGGAUUUCUGUAGCUAGUCUCUGCCAGAGGAUAUGAGUAUUUCAAGAAGCAGGAAGGGCUGGAGGUGUGUGAAGGCUCCCCCGCUCCUGCACUUCAUUUGUACACUCUCAUCAUCACUGGAGGAGUCUCCUGGCUGCAGUUGAGCCUUCGAUGAGAUGAUUUGCAUCACUCACAUUCCAAGCUGGGUGGGGGAAGCCCAGACAUUCUCGCUCUGCCCCUCAACCAGCUUGGUGCCAGAUUUCCUCUCGCUUCACCCCCCCAGGAGGUCAUCUAGGGAGCAGGCAUCACACAGUAGCAACAGGCCUUGCGGAUGAUGACAUCAUAGGCUAUUUUGCCCACUCUGUUUAUCUCGCACUGAGAGGCAGGAGAGCACAGUAAGGAGCACAGGUUUUUUGGUUUGGUUUUGUGGGUUUUGUGGGGGUUUUUUCUUUUUUUUUUUUUUUUUUUUUUUUUGAGAUGGAAUUUCACUCUUGUUGCCCAGGCUAGAGUGCAAUAGCACAAUCUUGGCUCCCAACAACCUCCGCCUCUUGUGUUCAAGCAAUUCUCCUGCCUCAGCCCCCUGAGUAGCUGGGAUUACAGGCGCC
rnacentral:lncRNA from 1 species